rnacentral:misc_RNA from 1 species
UCUCCGUUGGUGAACCAGCGGAGGGAUCAUUACAAGAGUUGAAAAACUCCCUAAACCCACUGUGAACCUACCUGUAUUUGUUGCUUCGGCGGGCUGCCCCAGGGCGGGGUUCUAGGCCUUAUAGGUGCCCGCCGACGGCCCAUUACAAACUCUUUUGUUAUUUGGGUGCUCUGAGUGAAGAUCAAAUGAGUCAAAACUUUCAACAACGGAUCUCUUGGUUCUG